rnacentral:rRNA from 1 species
GAUGAACGCUGGCGGCGUGCCUAAUACAUGCGAGUCGAGCGAACAGACGAGGAGCUUGCUCCUCUGACGUUAGCGGCGGACGGGUGAGUAACACGUGGAUAACCUACCUAUAAGACUGGGAUAACUUCGGGAAACCGGAGCUAAUACCGGAUAAUAUAUUGAACCGCAUGGUUCAAUAGUGAAAGACGGUUUUGCUGUCACUUAUAGAUGGAUCCGCGCCGCAUUAGCUAGUUGGUAAGGUAACGGCUUACCAAGGCAACGAUGCGUAGCCGACCUGAGAGGGUGAUCGGCCACACUGGAACUGAGACACGGUCCAGACCCCUACGGGAGGCAGCAGUAGGGAAUCUUCCGCAAUGGGCGAAAGCUUGACGGAGCAACGCCGCGUGAGUGAUGAAGGUCUUCGGAUCGUAAAACUCUGUUAUUAGGGAAGAACAAAUGUGUAAGUAACUAUGCACGUCUUGACGGUACCUAAUCAGAAAGCCACGGCUAACUACGUG